AAGUCGUAACAAGGUUUCCGUAGGUGAACCUGCGGAAGGAUCAUUAUCGAGUUUUGAAACGGGUUGUAGCUGGCCUUUCUAACCAGGAAGGCAUGUGCACGCCUGGCUCAUUCCACUCUUCAACCUCUGUGCACUUAUUGUAGGUCGGUGGAAAGCUUGGAGCUUUUUUAAUUAAAAGCCUUCAAGUUGGAAGCCUUCCUAUGUUUUACUACAAACGCUUCAGUUAUAGAAUGUUUAUCUUGCGUAUAACGCAUUUAUAUACAACUUUCAGCAACGGAUCUCUUGGCUCUC
rnacentral:misc_RNA from 1 species